AAUGGGCGCAAGCCUGAUCCAGCCAUGCCGCGUGGGUGAAGAAGGCCUUCGGGUUGUAAAGCCCUUUCGGCCGGGAAGAAAUCGUGCGGGCGAACAGUCUGCAUGGAUGACGGUACCGGAAGAAGAAGCACCGGCUAACUACGUGCCAGCAGCCGCGGUAAUACGUAGGGUGCGAGCGUUAAUCGGAAUUAUUGGGCGUAAAGCGUGCGCAGGCGGCGCCAUAAGACAGCUGUGAAAUCCCCGGGCUUAACCUGGGAACUGCGGUUGUGACUGUGGUGCUAGAGUACGGCAGAGGGAGGUGGAAUUCCUGGUGUAGCAGUGAAAUGCGUAGAGAUCAGGAGGAACACCGAUGGCGAAGGCAGCCUCCUGGGCUGAUACUGACGCUCAUGCACGAAAGCGUGGGGAGCAAA
rnacentral:rRNA from 1 species